AGCAAACACACACCUCAGGAUUUUGAGUUUGACUUUACGCGGGGCGAUCUCGCAGGCUUUGACAGCGUCUUCCAAGGUCAUCCCUAAAGUGCACCUGCCGCAAAUGUAGAGGAUCUUGUCAUUAGGUUGGACGCUGCCCUCUUCACUGGCCGGGGAGCCUGGCACUACCUCCAGACAGUAAAUGCCCUGCCAUUUGCUGCCAAUGCCACCGUUUCCCGACAUUCAACUGCGACUCUUGAUGAACUGGUCGAAAGCAGACUGGCGGUGAGCUGGGUGACGUGGGAGAAGCAGGCGAGGCUGGCGAGAUGGGCGUCGGAGGAGACGUGGGAUAGGCGGAAUCUUGGAGCUGUAGGAGAGUCUGGGCUUUUCUCUGCUGGGUCAUUCAGCUCCUCCUCGAGGGUGGUUGCCGUAUUCUGAGCAGGUCCAUCUGGCACAAUGGAAGCAAUGAAUAUACCAAGGUCGAGUUUACCUGUAUUGUCCUCGCCUACAAUCACAAAGCCUGCCACGGGACCAUAGCGGAUGCGGAGACAAAAGUCCUCAUUUAAACAAUUAGAUCCUGGAAGCUCAAGAACAAUUUGCUGUUCGUCAGCCAUUCGGAUAAAUUCGGGACCCAAAGCCUGUUUCCCACAUGCAUAACCCCUAUUAGGGUUACCCACGAUCUCCACGUGACAACAGGAAUCUAAUAAACAGAGCUUUACCAGAUGUUCAUCUUUCCUCUGGCUCAGGCUGAUGGAGGACUCGCUGAAGGUGAUGGAAGGACUGUGAGACCUGCCCGAUGUCUUGGGAGAGACGUCGUGGUGGGGGCUCCGGCCGAGCCAACUGCAGGUGCUGUCCCUGUGACGAGCCCCUCGCGGGAGCCUGAAUUGAAGGAGGGGAGAGAUAAAUAACAUUGUCAUCAGUGGACAACAUGAACAUACCUGACUUUGAGUCUGAGUCGAUCGAGUAUCUUCUCCUUUCUGGACAACCUUCACUGAAGUCUGCAAAUGGCCCUCGCCUUCCUGUCAAGCGGGUUAGAUUUCAUGAUGAUGAUGACGAUGAUAAUGGUGGUGAUGAUGAUGAUGAUGAGAUGAAUGCAUUAUUUGAACGUAGGUGAGGCUAAGGACGACGGUCGGUAUCUGAUUACGGUCUCUGGCAACAAUCUAAUCCCAGACCCGUUUUACGUUAAGAUUUUAAUCCUGUCAACCUGGACACUAGUUUGGCUAAGACCUAAAUGUGAAAAAUGACAAAUUUACUUGAGUUCAGGUUUCUGCAAAGUUUAUGGAAACGCAACCAUCUUUCAUCUCGUUUUCCAUCACACUAUACCUCACUAUCAAACUGCUGUAUUACUAUUGCAGAGAACAAUGUGGCUCGAACCCAAGAGUCUUCUUUGCCAGAGAGGAUCUAACAUUUUUCUGUCAACAUUCUAAAAUGUAGACAGUUAAUCGUUCAAGAACUGCCUUUUUAUCAAACGCUUAUGUUUGGUAUCAUGAUGUACAGAUUCAGACUUCCUUUUUGAAGUUGAGUUGUGACUAAUAGGUUGUCCGUCACAUUAAUAUGGUCAGACCAUCUGACUGUGGUUAAUUUUCAAAGUGACGUUGUACCUAACCGAACUGAGGUAGAGAGAUGGGAUAUUCCAUCAUAUAAUUCGACUAUUCAAAGUAGUUAGAUGAUUUAAUAUGAUUAGUGGUUUCAAAGUCAUUGUACCAUAUGUAUCUCACUGUUAUUAUGUUGUUUAUUCAUUUGUUACUUGGAAUGUACUGCAUGCUUGGCAUUCUGAUCUUAGAUUCGCCCCUGAUCCAAUUCCGCCAGAGACUCACCAUGAAGCCUUUCUCUGAUCAUCUGGCUCCGCCCGCUUAGAGGCAAGCUACUGUCAGAGGCAUGGUCCAUCUGCGGGAACAAGGACCUGUGAACAACAGGCACUGCGAACCCCCCCAAAAAGGUCCACGUGUGCACUCACCGGUUCACUGAAGACCUCCUCUACCAGCUGCCUGAUGACGUCGGCAGAUGGCGGCAGGCCGGAGGCUUUCUGACGGCACUCGCAGGCUUCCAGGAUGGAGGUGAUGGUUAGCCUGCGAUGGGACACGUCCUCACACAUGCUGAGGAGGAGGCUGUUGAGAUGGUCGCUCAACUGGACUGGCUGAGAUGGCACGUUAAAAAUAAAAUAUGUUAUGAUUGUACAGUACAGUUCAUCUGGAAAAAAUCACUAGUUCAUUUUUUCCACAUUUUAUGUUCCAGCCUUAUUCCAAAAUUGAUUAAAUUAAAUUCUAAAAACACCCCAUAAUGACAAUGUGAACAAGUAUUGAGCAAAGGCUGUGAAUACUUAUGUACACACUGGUUGUGUAGUGGUGCAUGCUGCUGACUUUCAUGCAGACAGCUCGGGUUUGAUUCCCGGUCGGUGCCCCAAUAAACAGCCGCGGUCGGUCCCAAGCCCAGAUUAAAAACUAAAAAAAAAAAAAAAAAAAAAACAACAACAACAAAAAGCGGCUGCUUCAGGAAGGGAAUCCGGUGUAAAAACUGUGCCAAACAAAUCAUGCAAGUUACUUGCUGUGGUGACCCCUGAUGGGACAAGCCACAACAACAAUUACUUACUGUAUGUACUGUACAUGUGAUUUCUUAGUUGUUGUUUUUUUAAUAUUAAUACAUGAAAGAGAAAAUUCAAAAACACUUUUUUAAAACGUUCAUUAUACUGUGUGUUGUCUUUAGAAUUUUAAGGGAAACAUUAAUACACCUUGACUCCAUUUUAGGAUAAGGCUGAAGCAUAACAAAAUGUGAAAAGGAAGUGAAGCGCUAUGAAUACUUUCUGGAUGAACGCUAUUUGAUCCCAAGAUUUGGUUAGAUGAAGGGAGCCCACCUGAUUUUGAGGUAGGUGAAAAUCAACUGACCAGUAGAGUGUCAUACCCAGUGAAUACACGAGCAUCUGUGUAGCAAAAAUCAACAAGAGGAACAAUUCUUACAUUUUCAGUGUUUUAACCCACAGAGAAUUAAUUGUUGAAGCAUAUUAUUUGCAAUACAUGAUGUCUCUUUACUAACUUCUUUAAA